AUUUCCCGGUCGGCAUCGAGCAGUUCGUUGGAAUUGGCGAUGAAGAUCGCGUCGGGACGCGGCC
rnacentral:sRNA from 1 species